UACGUAGGGUGCAAGCGUUGUCCGGAAUUAUUGGGCGUAAAGAGCUCGUAGGCGGUUUGUCGCGUCUUCCGUGAAAACUGGGGGCUUAACUUCCAGCUUGCGGUGGAUACGGGCUGACUGGAGUGCGGCAGGGGAGACUGGAAUUCCUGGUGUAGCGGUGAAAUGCGCAGAUAUCAGGAGGAACACCGAUGGCGAAGGCAGGUCUCUGGGCAUUAACUGACGCUGAGGAGCGAAAGCAUGGGGAGCGAACAGG
rnacentral:rRNA from 1 species